CCUACACGAGGAUUGGAUAGCACCGACCGGAUGCUGUGAACGAAAAUAUGCUAGUUGUAACCCCAACUCUGGUGCUUAUAUGUGCACCAAACACUCUCUCCUUCCCAAGUAAGAGUAUUUGAUGGAUUCUAUGUUCAUCAGCAUUAUCAGCACCUUAAUCAUUAACACAGCACAACAGGAUCAGACUGUGACGAAAGUGGAUCAUCAGUCAUAUUUGGAUAAUUGACUGAACUGAACCACUGAGACGCAGUCCCCUCUUCUCCAGGACUCUUUAAACAGAGUCUACAGUAUCAAUUGAACUGACUAUGUGUGUUGGCUACAAUCAUAGGUAGUGACAUAACAGGUCUGACCCUGGAGAUGCCGAAGAGACGAGACAUCAUCGGCAUUCUGUUGAUUGUGUUGCCUUGGACACUGCUUAUCACAGUUUGGCACCAUAGCGCCAUAACUCCUCUACUUGCUACUCGAAAGGAUGACAGACGUGAUGGUCGCUCCAACUCUAGGAAUACUUUUGCUUUCAAGGAGUCCUGUUCACUUCAGAACCGGGACAUCGUAGAGGUAGAGCGCACUGAGUAUGUCUACAGUCGGCCUCCACCCUGGUCUGACAUCCUGCCCACUAUCCACGUCAUCAGUCCCACAUACAGUCGGCCGGUGCAGAAGGCAGAGCUUACACGUCUGGCCAACACCUUGUUGCACGUGCCAAACCUGCACUGGAUCCUGGUGGAGGACUCAAAGAGGAGGAGCACUCUGGUCAGCAGUCUCCUCCAGGAGACUAGACUUAACUACACCCACCUCAAUGUGGAGACACCUAGAAACUAUAAGGUACGCGUGGACAGUAGGGACCCCCGAAUACCUCGGGGUACCAUACAGAGGAACCUGGCCAUCCGCUGGCUCAGGGAGACCUUCAGCGAAAACAGUAGCCAGCCUGGGAUUGUCUACUUUGCAGACGAUGACAACACAUACAGUUUGGAGCUGUUUGAGGAGAUGCGUUCCACCAAAAAGGUGUCAGUUUGGCCCGUGGCCUUUGUGGGUGGCCUACGAUAUGAGUCCCCUAAAGUAAACACAUUGGGAAAGGUGUACGGCUGGAAGACAGUAUUCGACCCACACCGACCCUUUGCCAUUGACAUGGCUGGGUUUGCAGUGAACCUGCACCUCAUUCUGUCUAAACCUCGGGCUUAUUUCAAGUUACAUGGGGUGAAGGGAGGUUAUCAGGAGAGCAGUUUAUUAAAGGAGCUGGUCACUCUCAGUGAUUUGGAGCCUAAAGCUGCUAACUGCACUAAGGUGUUAGUAUGGCACACACGGACAGAGAAGCCUGUGCUAGUAAACGAGGGCAAGAAGGGAUUUACAGACUCUAAUGUGGAGAUAUGACAUACUUCAUACCACACAGGGGCAUUUCUCCAUUGGAAUCUACCUGUAUUCAAACCAACCUCUGAAAGCAAUAGUGAGGGUCAAAAAUAUUAUCAUAGCAUUGUAGCUGUACUUCACCACCGUUUAGAAAUCGAGGCACACCUUUCCACCCCAGGAGGCAGCACAAGCCAUGUGCUUGUACAGACCACAGAGUAUCAAAUCACAACUGCACAAAAACAAGCUGUCCCGUUUUGCUCAGAGCACGGCUUAAUGUGAGACACUGGUAGGAGUUGCCAAAAGAAGCUUGCCCAUUGAGCUUUCCUCAGAGAGCUGAGACAAAGGAUAUUACGUGAUCGAAACUGCAGAAAGAGAUGGCACGGCAAGCAAUAAAGAGCCCUUUGCAGACAACACCAGCCAACCAUCCAAUCAACAUUAAAUAGGGCCCUUUUGUUCUGAAGCGAGCUGCCUGUCCAGCACAGGGCUGCACAGCAGAAUAAAAAGGGUCCUUGUAUGCCCUGCACUGAGAGGAUCUGAGCCCUCUCCACUUGUACUGUACAACACUCAGCUAUUUACAUAGCACCACAAACUCAGCACUAAUUAGGAGUCCUGUUACACACAUUCACACGUGUCACACUGCACAUGAUGAGCACACAGACACACAUGCACUUGAAAACGGAGCAAUGAUUUAUUAGUAUAUAGCAAUGUCCUCUCUUACAGUCAUUUAAGCUCCUUUUUGUUUCUGAUUUGCUGUAACACUACUGAGGUCUACUCAUAUUAAGAGACUCAUUACUCCCGUCCACUUUACAGAUGUCUUUAUAAGCUAAUUAAGAUCCCACUGAGUGAACUGAAGGGUUCUCCGCAUAAUUAUUUAUUGUUUCAGAGUAACUGGUACUAUUCACUUGCUAGUCGUGAGCUAUGCAAGUGUGAGUUAAUGGGAUAUGAAGUUAUUACUUUGAAUAUUGGAUGUGCAUUAAAUGGCUGUAUUACACAAUCACAAAUAUUCCCACUCUGGGUGGCGGGCUUGCAUAUGAUGAUUUCAUACCCCAUUGACUUGCAGUGGCUGCUUACAAAUGCUUAUGUUCUCAAAGGCUCUGUGACUGUUAGAAGUUUGGUCAGUUAUUGUCAGGCAUCUGAAACCUUGACCUUUCACUGAAAGAUAAGGGUCUGAUGUUGCUGUUCUGCUUGUGUUUAAUUUGAAAGCUGUUCACAUCACUCUUGCCACAGCUGUGAUUGUCCCAUAAGCCUGAUCUUUGUUUUACAGGCUAAGAUGUGUCCAUUUCAAAAACUGCAUUCUGCAGAAUAUUAACACAUAUCAAAUAUAACUGUGUUCCCAACCAGAAAGUAUUACCCUUUCGCCCUUUAAGUGGUAAGAAAUGGGUAAGAGAAUAUACUCGGUAAUUCUGCUCCAUGUGUGAUAAGCCACUGUAACUAAAGGUACUGCAUGUAUAUAUCUACAAAAUUCUCCCAUACGAACUCUUUGUUUUUCAUAUUGUUCUGUGUGUAUAUAUGAAGAUUUCUAAGUAUUAUAUCAGACAAUGACCAGUGCAUUGAGCUGAUGUAAUAAGAAUUUCGUAAAUCUUUGUCAAAAAAGGUGAUGAGAGUCACUGGAUGUCUGCUGCCAUCCCAAGAUCAGGCGUAUCCUCAAAAUGGAUCUUGUAGUCACCCUCCUGUUCUUCAAACACCAUGACCUUAUUCAUUUAAACAGAAAACAAAUUAAGAGACAAAGAAGAGAGUUAGAGACUUUAGACAUGACUAAGCUUAGGGUAAAGACUGGGAACAGGGGAAUUAUUAUUAUUAAUAAUAAUUAUAUUAUAAUAUUAAUAUUGCACAGCUGUACCUGAUUUAUUCCACUGUUGAGAAAGGGACCGGGGAGGUAGAGAGCCUGCUGGGGGCCAAUUGACCAGUAGCGGCCCAGAUUCAGACCAUUUAUAAACACAACACCUUUCUCCCAGCCCUGUCGACCCAAAGACAAUAUCAUGGUUUCACAAUAUGUACAUGAAGUAUAUGUCAUAAAAAGACACACAAAAAUGUACGUAGCAUAAAAGUGUACGUAGCAUAAAAACUUUGCGUUUCAUGUAACUUACUGGUAGCUUCACAAAUGUGUCACUCGGAUACCCGUAUGCAAACAGCCUCCCCAUGAAAAAUCCAGGGAAGCUGGGAGUUUCAGGGAGAGUUUUCCAAGUUGCCUGAUAAAGACUGAAAUAAGACACCCACUUCAAACACAUUAGUACAACAUAAUGAAAGGGAAAUGCAAUGCUUUGAUUUCAAUAAAGCGUACAAACCUAUCAAUAAAGCCGGGUUUCAUAUCCAGGCUGUACAUUGUAAAAUCCCGCAAGGGGAUAUUGUUUAAUAGAAUGUCUCCCACAAGGCCUGCAAGAACACAAAUCAAAAUUGGCUUGUACAAUAACCACUCAGUAUUUGAGUGAUUGAACAGCAGGCAUAGCAAUUAACUGCAUAUUGUUUGUCGAUCACCUUUAUGUUGUUUGUCUAGGUCCCUUCCCUGGUGAACUCGUCCACAGUUUUCCACCAAUAAACUUAAGGAUUUCUGAUUCUGAUGCCAAUAACAUGGAGCAGGGACAUGCGAUAAGGGGAGGCAGGGGAGGCAGAGCCUCCCUUGUCAUCAUGAAAACACGUACAAUCCAUUACAACCAUCAGGUCAGCUCCACCACCGUCGCACAACUGACGCGUCUUCAGAGCGCACCCGCUACCACAACAUAUACUGGAAACACCACUCGACUGCUGCACUCCCGGCAGCAAAGAAAACCUGGAACGGAUUUUUCCUCUCUCUGCCAUCUCACACCAACAAAAUCUAAUCUAGACAACAUCAGACCUCUCCAGCCUGCCACCACCCUCCCUCUCUACCAACCUUGCCCUCCUCAACGUCCGGUCAAUCAACAAUAAAGCCCCCAUCCUGCACGAACUCAUCCUUGACAAAACCCUGGAUUUUCUUCUGCUCACUGAAACCUGGCAACAACCCAAUGACUUCUUCUUCCUCAGUCAAACAUCCCCCCCUGGUUUUAACUACAUCACUAAACUCCGCCUCUCCCUUAGUGGUGGUGGCCUUUACUGUUAUCUACAAUCAGAACUUCCGGAUCACAGAACUCCCCCUCCCCCCAGUACCAUCCUUUGAGUUUCUCGCCUUCAAAGCCUUCUCCCCAAUGACAGUUAUUCUCAUUUACCGGCCUCCUAAACCUCAUCCCUCCUUCUUCUCUGAUUUGAUUAAACUUCUCACACUAGCCUCAUCCAUCUCAUACUGCUCGGUGACCUUGACAUCCACAUGGACUCCCCCAGCUGCAAACUCUCAGCUGAAUUCUCCACUCUACUGGACAAUGUUUCUAUCACCCAACACAUCACGUUCCCCACCCACGACAAAGGACACAUCAUCGACCUCCCAGUACACAACCUCUACCCAUGCCCAUUUCCCCUCUCAGACCACAAACUCAUACAAUUUACCAUUGCAUCCCCCACCCUCGCCCCCUCAGAGAAAUCACAUUCCGUAAUCUACAUGCCAUCGAUCUCCACCAUCUCUCUGGCCUGCUAUCCUCUACUCUCCACCUGGACAGAACCAUCACCUCACCCGAUGAUAUUACGAACCUCCUAAACUCCACCCCGUCUACCUCCCUCAACACUCUAGCCCCCCUCAAAAGGAAAACUGUCUCUUUCAACACCUCCUCACCCUGGUUCACACCCACACUCCACAAAAUGAAACAGACUGGCUCGCCAAAAAAACCUUCCUCACAGUCUACCAAGAAUCCUACAAACUCCACCUCACUGCCUACAAAGAUUCCCUCACCGCUGCCAAGUCUGCUUACCUCUCGACCAUCUUCAAUGACCCCUCCUGGAACCCCAGAACCCUCCACAGUCAAAAACCUCCUCCAGCCCGUGCCAACAGCUUCACUACAUCUACUCCUGCUUUAUGCAACUCAUUCCUCCAGUUUUUCACAGACAAAAUCAACAACAUUAAUUGCUCACUAUCCCCUGUACCCCAUCCAGAAGCACCUACCCCAGCUUCCACUGCCGCCUCUCCAAGUUCAACCUCGUUUCCCCUCCUGAGCUCCUCUAACUGAUCAGCUCCUCCAAACCCACAACCUGCUCCCUUGACCCUCUUCCAACUCCACUACUGAAGUCCUGCCUCCUUGUCCUAUGCUCCUACCUCACUCACCACUUCAACUCCUGGCUGUCCCAUCGAACCGUCCCCUCUGCCUUCAGAACUGCGGCGAUCACUCCAAUCCUCAAAAAACCUGAUCUGGAUCCCUCCUCUCUCAACAACUACCACCCAAACUCAAACCUCCCUUUCCUGUCAAAAACAUUGGAAAGCAUUGUUGUCAAACAACUCCAUUCCCACCUUCAUGCCAAUCAUCUUUUUGAACCCCUCCAGUCUGGUUUUCGCCCCCUCCACAGCACAGAAAUGGCGCUACUCAAAGUCCUCAACGACCUCCUCACCUCUGCUGAUACUGGUUCCUUCAACAUCCUAAUCUUCCUUGACCUGAGUGUAGCCUUUGAUACCGUGAGCCAUAACAUCCUGCUCUCCAGACUCAAGGACAUCGGUAUCGAGGGUACUGCACUCAGGUGGCUCCAGUCCUACCUGUCCGACAGAUCCCACUUAAUUUCCCAUCACAACCACUCCUCUGCCAUAGCGCCAGUCACCCAAGGCGUCCCCCAAUGUUCAGUACUCGGCCCCCUCCUCUUCACAAUCUACAUCCUCCCCCUCUGUCAGAUACUCCGCCACUUCAACUUGGACUUCCACUGCUAUGCCGACGACACUCAGAUCCACCUCAGCACCAAAUCCCCCCAUAACCCAGCCCUCUCCCACAUCGAAUCAUGUCUCACAGCCAUAAAAAACUGGUAGCAACACAACUUCCUCAAACUUAACAGCAAUAAAACCGAAUUGCUACUCAUUGGCUCCAAAUCCACACUCAGCAAAACCUCCAAUCUGACACCCACCAUUGACAGCACCACUGUUUUCCCCUCCCCUAAGGCACGCAACCUUGGCCUGAUCUUCGACCCCACCCUAUCCCUUGAGCCCCAUAUCCGCCAUAUUGUCAAAACUUCCUUGUUCCACCUCCACAAUAUUGCAAAAAUCAGACCGUCUCUCACCCGCCCAGCAGCUGAAAGACUGAUUCACGCCUUCAUUUCCUCCCGCCUUGACUAUGGUAACUCCCUACUAUAUUGCAUCACUGCAAGCUCCAUCAACAGACUCCAACUGGUCCAGAACUCCACCGCCCAACUCCUCACAAAUACCAAAUCUUGGCACCACAUCACCCUAGUGCUCAAAGAACUCCACUGGCUACCUGUCUCCCUCAGAAUCAACUACAAACUCCUGGUCCUCACUUACAAAGCCCUCCACCACCUAGCUCCCUCCUAUCUCACUGACCUCAUCUCCCUCUACCAACCCCCGCGGUCCCACAGAUCCACCUCAGCUGGUCUCCUUUGCACCCCCAAUCCAACCUGCGCAGCUUUGGAGACAGAGCCUUCUCCAGGGCAGCACCCAGGCUCUGGAACUCCCUCCCCCAAGACAUCCGUGACUCUCAGUCCCUCUCUAUAUUUCAGUCCCGCCUCAAGACGCACCUCUUCUCAACUAUCAUUUGCUAGCCCCCUGUUAACCGUAUUAUUAUUAUUUUUUUCUCUUUCCCUUUUUUUUCUUCUUCUCUCGUCCUAACACUCCACCCCACCUCCCCUACUAUUGUAAAGUGGCUUUGAGGUCUUGAAAAGCGCUAUAUAAAUUCAGUUUAUAAUUAUUAUUAUAUGAAAAUUGUAACAAUUUAUUGUCUAAAUUGCGGUAAGAAAGCAUCCAUCCAUCCAUCCAUCAUCUACCGCUUAUCCGGGGUCGGGUCGCGAGGGUAGCAGCUCCAGUAAGGAACCCCAAACUUCCCUUCUCUGGGCCACAUCUGUCAGCUCCAACUGGGGGAUCCCGAGGCGUUCCCAGGCCAGUGGGGAGAUAUAAUCUCUCCACCGAGUCCUGGGUCUUCCCCGGGGUCUCUUCCCAGCUGGAUGUGCAUGGAACACCUCCCUCGGGAGGCAGCCAGGUGGCAUCCUUACUAAAUGCCGGAACCACCUCAACUGGCUCCUUUUUCAUAUUUCACAAAAUGCCAAACUUUUACUUUCAGUUAAGUUUCAGCAACUACAAACAUAUCAAGGAUCAUGAUGUGUGAAAUGAGUUAGGGCAACAACAUCUGCAUAAGGUGAGGGAGAGUGAGGUCGUGUCAUCAUGUACAAUGAAGACUCACUAGGGCACGGUCUCGGACAUUGUCUCCAGACUUCAAUAAUCCUCCGCUGGUGAUGGUAGUCUCAUACAGCGUGUAUCCAUAGGACUGGCCGUUCCUGUUGUUCACAGGUAGAUUCUCCAUGCUUACUUGUUUGUGUGACUUAAAUGGCUGUAAACAUUUGAAAAGAAAAAUUGUUCUCAAGGAUUAAAAAGGAAAAAUAUUUUAAUUACACAUACUGUAUAUGCAAGAUAUUUUACAUAAAACUUACUCCCUCUGUGAAGCUCAAAGCAUCCCAUACUGACAAGUGCUGGUACAUGAUAGCUGGUUCAUAAGCCUCUCUGUAAUGCAGGGCUGUCAUGUCAGGAAUACUGUCUCCUUCUGCGCAGAAAGGUCAAAAGGUUAGUCAUGGCAUGUAAUUACAUACUUUUUUCAAAUGUAGUGUUUAACUUACUGUUGUAUCGGGAAAGUAAAUCCCUAAGGAGAUGGUACUUUGGAGUGUACUCCCCAGCUUCAGACAAUGGAGCAUCAUAAUCUGAAAAAACCUUAUCAUGUAACAUGGAUUAACUAUCAUUUUCUGCCACCUGCUAGGUGGUAAGGUCAAUGAUGUUCUGUAGACAACAAACUCUCCAGCUCAUCAUUAUAAUAAAAUCUUUGGAAAUUUGCAUCAAAAUGGCAGCUAGUUUGUUUGUGACCGAGCAGAUAAAGACCAACCAUAGCUGGGGACCAAUGCUUUGUAGGAAGGAUCAGCGAGUGCUCCGCUCAUGAAGCCAAAACUGGAGCCUCCAUGGAACAUGUAGAAGUUAACAGACAUGCCUCGUCUCAGAAUUUCUCUCACAGUGGACACCAUAUCUGACAAGAAGUUCAACACGUUCACUGUACAACAAAUUGACUCCUUAAAAACAUAAAGGUUACUACAACAGAAAAAUCAUAAAACAGUGUUUAAACCAAGUCAUUUAAACUGUUUUGACCUGUGCUGUCCUGUGCUGUGCUGACCUCUUUGUCAGAGGCGACAAUAAUUCAAAAGUAGUUUGGACCUACAUUCUACAUUUUCAUGUAGCUGGCGUUCCUCAUGCAAAAAAUACAGCAGUAGGAAAAUAAAUAUAAUGCAAACUACAGAGUGAGAUAGAAAGCAAAUAUUUACAGCAGAGUGACUUGACAGUACAUAUUUCUGGUGGGUAAGACAAAAAAAAUAUUUUAUGAAGAGAGUCAGUGUGACAAAGGACAGCAAGUCACUUUGAUGGGUCUAUGUUGAUGGGUGUGACCGAAAACAGCCUUACGAUAAGUAGUUCUGUUUUUGUGCAGAAUUGGAUUUUUACAAUAUGUGUUUUUUAGGCUGAUACCAGUAUUUGUAAAGCAAAUUGAAGAUCUUUUCUAUCAAACAUUGCUUUAAAAGGUGUUGGCAGUCAAAAAGCCAUAAACAGCAUUUGGACAAAGAAGAACUUACAUUAUAUUCUCCAGGGAACCUGUUAACCUCAUUAAUAUCAAAUUAUUUCUGUUUCAGAAUAAAUGUGAAAUG